GAUGAACGCUGGCGGCGUGCCUAAUACAUGCAAGUCGAGCGAACAGACGAGGAGCUUGCUCCUCUGACGUUAGCGGCGGACGGGUGAGUAACACGUGGAUAACCUACCUAUAAGACUGGGAUAACUUCGGGAAACCGGAGCUAAUACCGGAUAAUAUAUUGAACCGCAUGGUUCAAUAGUGAAAGACGGUUUUGCUGUCACUUAUAGAUGGAUCCGCGCCGCAUUAGCUAGUUGGUAAGGUAACGGCUUACCAAGGCGACGAUGCGUAGCCGAACUGAGAGGGUGACCGGCCACCCUGGAACUGCGACACGGUCCAGACUCCUACGGGAGGCAGCAGUAGGGAAUCUUCCGCAAUGGGCGAAAGCCUGACGGAGCAACGCCGCGUGAGUGAUGAAGGUCUUCGGAUCGUCAAACUCUGUUAUUAGGGAAGAACAAAUGUGUAAGUAACUAUGCACGUCUUGACGGUACCUAAUCAGAAAGCCGCGGCUAACUACGUG
rnacentral:rRNA from 1 species